AGCUUUGAACAUUGGCAGUAUCAUAGCCAGUCAGGUUUAUCUGAGGUGUGAUUACUGCUGAUGGAAAACUUUUCCUGAUACCCUGCCAUGAUGACUUGUAAUGCAGUGAGCACUGGCAAUUUUUGACAGUCUCCAUGGAGA
ensembl:snRNA U4 U4 spliceosomal RNA